rnacentral:rRNA from 1 species
GACAGAGGGGGCAAGCGUUGCUCGGAAUUACUGGGCGUAAAGGGCGCGUAGGCGGGAUGGCAAGUCGGUCGUGAAAUCCUUCGGCUCAACCGAAGAACGUCGAUCGAUACUGCUGUUCUUGAGGGUUGCAGAGGAGACUGGAAUUCCCGGUGUAGCGGUGAAAUGCGUAGAUAUCGAGAGGAACACCUGCGGCGAAGGCGGGUUGCUGGGCUGAUACUGACGCUGAUGCGCGAAAGCCAGGGGAGCGAACGGG